rnacentral:rRNA from 1 species
UUUAGUUUUAAAUAUUUUGCCUGGGGAUUACUUGUUAAGGUCAUCAAACUCAAAGGAUUUGGCGGUAAGAAAUCUUAUUAGAGGAACUUGUACUGUGAUAGAUAACACGCGUAUUAUUUUACUUAUAAUAUAUUACUUUGUAUAUCGUCGUUUAAGAAAAUGUUUAUUGAUUUAAUUUUCUACAGGGUUAUUAUUCUCUUUAAAUCAGAUCAAGAUACAGGUUAUUUGUAAGGGGGUUUAUGAGUUACAUUUAAUUUAUUAAUAGUUUUCUUUUUUAAAUAUUGGAAUUAAAUUGGAUUUAAAAGUAAUUUAUUAUUAGAAUGUUUAUAUGAAUUUUUCUUUUUUA